rnacentral:rRNA from 1 species
UACGUAGGUGGCAAGCGUUGUCCGGAAUUAUUGGGCGUAAAGCGCGCGCAGGCGGUCCUUUAAGUCUGAUGUGAAAGCCCACGGCUCAACCGUGGAGGGUCAUUGGAAACUGGGGGACUUGAGUACAGAAGAGGAAAGCGGAAUUCCACGUGUAGCGGUGAAAUGCGUAGAUAUCAGGAGGAACACCGGUGGCGAAGGCGCCUAUCUGGCCCGAUACUGACGCUGAGGCGCGAAAGCGUGGGGAGCGAACAGG